UAUGUUUCCCAAGUACAAUCGCCUGGAAGUAGCAAGAUAUCUAACCUUGAAAGAAAUGCAGUAGGCCAUGGGAGCCCAGACUUUCCUCAGCACUGAGAGCAUCUUUGGCACUUGAUCUAGUCGGAUGUCCAAAGGGCAGAUGCCGAC